AUUGAACGCUGGCGGCAUGCCUUACACAUGCAAGUCGAACGGUAGCGGGCCUUCGGGUGCCGACGAGUGGCGAACGGGUGAGUAAUGUAUCGGAACGUACCAUUGAGUGGGGGAUAACGUAGCGAAAGUUACGCUAAUACCGCAUAUUCUGUGAGCAGGAAAGAGGGGGAUCGCAAGACCUCUUGCUUUAGGAGCGGCCGAUGUCGGAUUAGCUAGUUGGUGAGGUAAAGGCUCACCAAGGCGACGAUCCGUAGCGGGUCUGAGAGGAUGAUCCGCCACACUGGGACUGAGACACGGCCCAGACUCCUACGGGAGGCAGCAGUGGGGAAUUUUGGACAAUGGGCGCAAGCCUGAUCCAGCCAUGCCGCGUGAGUGAAGAAGGCC
rnacentral:rRNA from 1 species